rnacentral:rRNA from 1 species
GACGAACGCUGGCGGCGUGCCUAAUACAUGCAAGUUGAGCGCUGAAGGUUGGUACUUGUACCGACUGGAUGAGCAGCGAACGGGUGAGUAACGCGUGGGGAAUCUGCCUUUGAGCGGGGGACAACAUUUGGAAACGAAUGCUAAUACCGCAUAAAAACUUUAAACACAAGUUUUAAGUUUGAAAGAUGCAAUUGCAUCACUCAAAGAUGAUCCCGCGUUGUAUUAGCUAGUUGGUGAGGUAAAGGCUCACCAAGGCGAUGAUACAUAGCCGACCUGAGAGGGUGAUCGGCCACAUUGGGACUGAGACACGGCCCAAACUCCUACGGGAGGCAGCAGUAGGGAAUCUUCGGCAAUGGACGAAAGUCUGACCGAGCAACGCCACGUGAGUGAAGAAGGUUUUCGGAUCGUAAAACUCUGUUGGUAGAGAAGAACGUUGGUGAGAGUGGAAAGCUCAUCAAGUGACGGUAACUACCCAGAAAGGGACGGCUAACUACGUG